rnacentral:rRNA from 1 species
CCUACGGGAGGCAGCAGUAGGGAAUCUUCCACAAUGGGCGCAAGCCUGAUGGAGCAACACCGCGUGAGUGAAGAAGGGUUUCGGCUCGUAAAGCUCUGUUGUUGGAGAAGAACGUGCGUGAGAGUAACUGUUCACGCAGUGACGGUAUCCAACCAGAAAGUCACGGCUAACUACGUGCCAGCAGCCGCGGUAAUACGUAGGUGGCAAGCGUUAUCCGGAUUUAUUGGGCGUAAAGCGAGCGCAGGCGGUCGCUUAGGUCUGAUGUGAAAGCCUUCGGCUUAACCGAAGAAGUGCAUCGGAAACCGGGCGACUUGAGUGCAGAAGAGGACAGUGGAACUCCAUGUGUAGCGGUGGAAUGCGUAGAUAUAUGGAAGAACACCAGUGGCGAAGGCAGCGUACCGGCUCCACACUGACGCUGAGGCACGAAAGCGUGGGUAUCGAACAGGAUUAGAUACCCUAGUAGUC